GAUUCAAAAUCUAGUUAAUUACUCUAGAUCUAGCAUUGGGCAUAAUUAAAGAUGAAGAAUUCUACAGAUAACCUAGCAAAGGGGGCAAUCUACUAAACCAUAUGAAUCCCUAACGAGAAACCCUAUUUCUAACAAGCAGACUACUCAGACAUAUUAAAUGAAACAAACAACAUAAUUGAGAUAGAAAGCAUAAACACAACAAUAGAGAUAAGAGUUAGAAAAGAUCUCUUCACUGUAUUAAGAACUGGAAUGAAUCUCUCAAGAAUAAUGGAUGAAUAGCUUCUGUCUUUCACG
rnacentral:sRNA from 1 species